rnacentral:rRNA from 1 species
CUUGGUUUGACAUACUCCGGAACACACCUCAGGCUAGGUGCCCUUUUUGUCGGUGUACAGGUGGUGCAUGGCUGUCGUCAGCUCGUGUCGUGAGAUUUUGGGUUAAGUCCCGCAACGAGCGCAACCCUCGUCCUAUGUUGCCAGCACGUUCUGGUGGGGACUCAUAGGAGACUGCCGGGGUCNAACUCGGAGGAAGGUGGGGAUGACGUCAAGUCAUCAUGCCCCUUAUGUCCAGGGCUUCACGCAUGCUACAAUGGCCGGUACAAAGGGCUGCGAUACCGCAAGGUGGAGCGAAUCCCAAAAAGCCCGUCUCAGUUCGGAUUGGGGUCUGCAACUCGACCCUAAGAAGUCGGAGUUGCUAGUAAUCGCUGAUUCGCAAACAUACCUAGGUACAUCACCG